rnacentral:sRNA from 1 species
GAAAUGUGUCGGUGACAUUGAAUGGGGAGACCGAGCGCGAGCGAGGCGCGCGCGCGCACACGCGCACACACGGCCCCGCUCGCUCCGAGAUCCCCGGCCACGACGAGAUCCAGUUCUCCAGCGGGAGAGGGGCAAAGAAACGCCGCGCGUUGGAAGGGCCAGGGACGCAGCUCCGCUUGCAGCGCCCGCAGGACCCCCGCAAGCUCGUGCCGGAGAAAUCGCAGACCGCCGAUCUGUCCUCGUUCUCUCCUGCACGUCUGGCUGCAUUCGGAAGAAGACUCGGGGCGCGAGCGAGCGGCGACAGCAUGAGCCUGUGCUGACCUCCGCGCGGCGGGCCGAGCCCAGGGCUUUGUCGCGGUACCUGCGCCCAGCCCGCGCCGCAACUCUGUGCUCAGCUUUUGCAAUCUUUUGUUGGCAACGCUGACCGCUCCAAGUUAAAUGCUCCCUUGCAAUUUUUCUUUUUUUUGUUUGUUUGUUUAAUUUUUGGAGAGCUCGCGAUCUUGGAAAAGCCUCAGACGCCAUCUACAGUUAAAACGUAGGUAACUGCUCUCUCCCGCACCCCCCCUUACACGCCCCCCACCCUUUCCACCAAAAAAAGG